rnacentral:rRNA from 1 species
UAGUCCAUGCUGUAAACGAUGAAUGUUAAUUAUAUGAUAUUUUUAUGUAAUUAAGUUAACACGUUAAACAUUCCGCCUGGGGAGUACGGCCGCAAGGUUAAAACUCAAAUGAAUUGACGGAAAUCCGCACAAGCGGUGGAGCAUGUGGUUUAAUGCGAUACAACGCGCAAAACCUUACCAGUUCUUGAAUAUAAAAUUUUUAAACAUUAUUAGUUUAAAAACGGAAAUAUUUGUUAGGUUAUAAAUAUUUUCAUUUUAUACAGGUGCUGCAUGGCUGUCGUCAGCUCGUGUUGUGAGAUGUUUGGUUAAUUCCUUUAACGAGCGCAACCCUUAUUUUUAAUUUAAUUUCAAUUAGAAAGAAAGUCCAUGAAAUAUGGAAGGAAGGAGAGGAUGACGUCAAGCCCUUAUGGCCUUUAUGGGCUGGGCUACACACGUGCUACAAUGGUAAUUACAAAAUGUUGCAAUAAAGUGAUUUAAAGCUAAUCAUUAAAAAUUAUCGUAGUUCGGAUUGUUCUCUGCAAUUCGAGAACAUGAAGUAGGAAUCGCU